GAAACAUAUAAAUACUGUCUAGGUUUUAGAUGAAAUUUAUUUAUAAGUUUUAUUCUUGCUUAUUUUAUUAAUUAUUUAUUAAGAUUAUAUGAUUAUUUUUUAAUUUUUAUUUGUUCAGUAAUAAGUAUUAUUAAUUAUUAUCAUUAUUAUUAAGUUAUUUAAUUAUAUUGGAUUAAAAUUGUGCCAGCAGUCGCGGUUAUACAAUUCAUUAAAUUUAAUAUUAUAAGUUUUAAUUAUUUUUUUUUUGGAAAUAAAUUAAUUAAAUUUAGGUGGAAUUUAUUUAAUCUUUCAUUUUCUUUUAGAAUUUUUAUUAAAUUUUAAUUUUAAACUAGGAUUAGAUACCCUAUUAUUUUUAAUUUAAUGAUUUACUUGAAUAUUAUCAGUUAAUUUCUGUUAAACUCAAAGAAUUUGGCGGUAAUUAAUUUUUUUAGAGGAAUUUGGUUUUUAAUUGAUAAACCACGAUAAAUUUGACUUUUUUUGUAUUUGUAUAUCUCUAUAAUUUGGAAUGUUAUAAUAAUAUAUUUUCUUUCUUUUUUAAAAAAUUUAUGUUAGGUCAAGGUGCAGUUUUAAAAAAGCAAAUUUGAAUUACUUUAAUACUAUAUAUUUAUCAUUAAUUUGUUUAUUAUAUUUAUUAAAUAGAAUUUAACAGUAAGUUUAAAUAAUUAUUUAAUCUGAAUAUAAUACUAAAUUAUGUACAUAUUGCCCGUCACUCUCAUUUAAGUUGAGAUAAGUCGUAACAAAGUAAUUUUACUGGAAAGUGAGGUUAGAAUGU
rnacentral:ncRNA from 1 species